CUUUGGGGUUCCUGGGUGUCAUGCAGAUCUCGGUGGGACCUCCAAAUGAAAGACCUCCGUGGGGAUAACCCCACUCAAGUCAUGAGAUAGCGUGCACCCAAAGAAUCAAGAUAGA
rnacentral:pre_miRNA from 7 species